AUACGUAGGUGACAAGCGUUAUCCGGAUUUACUGGGCGUAAAGGGCGUGUAGGCGGUCUUGCAAGUCAGAAGUGAAAUUCCUGAGCUCAACUCGGGCGCUGCUUCUGAAACUGCAGGACUUGAGUGCUGGAGGGGAUAGCGGAAUUCCUAGUGGAGCGGUAAAAUGCGCAGAUAUUAGGAAGAACACCGGUGGCGAAGGCGGCUAUCUGGACAGUAACGGACGCGGAGGCGCGAAAGCGUGGGGAGCAAACAGGAUUAGAUACCCUGGUAGUCCACGCUGUAAACGAUGAUUCCUAGGUGUGGGGGGACUGACCCCUUCCGUGCCGCAGUUAACACAAUAAGUAAUCCACCUGGGGAGUACGGCCGCAAGGUUGAAACUCAAAUGAAUUGACGGGG
rnacentral:rRNA from 1 species